AGUUGAGCGAGAUAAGUUGUAGCAAUACGGCUUUGAAAGCGGCGCACGGGUGCGUAACACGUAUGCAACCUACCUUUUACUAAGGAAUAGCCUCUCGAAAGAGAGAUUAAUACCUUAUAACAUGUUUUGAAGGCAUCUUCAGAACCUUAAAGCUCCGGCGGUAAAAGAUGGGCAUGCGGUUGAUUAGCUAGUUGGUGAGGUAAUGGCUCACCAAGGCUUCGAUCAAUAGGGGGUCUGAGAGGAUGUCCCCCCACACUGGUACUGAGACACGGACCAGACUCCUACGGGAGGCAGCAGUAGGGAAUAUUGGACAAUGGGCGCAAGCCUGAUCCAGCCAUGCCGCGUGCAGGAUGAAGGCCCUAUGGGUCGUAAACUGCUUUUGUACGGGAAGAAACCUCACUACGUGUAGUGAGUUGACGGUACCGUGAGAAUAAGGAUCGGCUAACUUCGUGCCAGCAGCCGCGGUAAUACGAAGGAUCCAAGCGUUGUCCGGAUUUACUGGGUUUAAAGGGUGCGUAGGCGGACUUUUAAGUCAGUGGUGAAAGCUCGCAGCUUAACUGUGAAAUUGCCAUUGAAACUGAAAGUCUCGAGUGUGGUUGAG
rnacentral:rRNA from 1 species